AUAGCGUAUAUUAAAGUUGUUGCAGUUAAAAAGCUCGUAGUUGAAUUUCGGGAUCAGUACGCCGGUCGUGCCUUCGGUAUGCACUGGUGUCACUGGUUUCUCCCUUCUGAAGAACCAUCAUGCCAUUAAGUUGGUGUGGCGGGAAAUCAGGACUGUUACUUUGAAAAAAUUAGAGUGUUUAAAGCAGGCUCGCGCUUGAAUACAUUAGCAUGGAAUAAUGAAAUAGGACGUUUGACCCUAUUUUGUUGGUUUCUAGGAUCGACGUAAUGAUUAAUAGGGAUAGUUGGGGGCAUUAGUAUUCAAUUGUCAGAGGUGAAAUUCUUGGAUUUAUUGAAGACUAACUACUG
rnacentral:rRNA from 1 species